rnacentral:rRNA from 1 species
UGGUGGAGUGAUUUGUCUGGUUAAUUCCGUUAACGAACGAGACCUCGACCUGCUAAAUAGUGGUGCGCACUCUUUGAGUGUGUGAUCACUUCUUAGAGGGACUAUUGGUUUGUAGCCAAUGGAAGUUCGAGGCAAUAACA